GUAAAUCCCUCAAUUUCACUCUCCAUCUCUCAACCAGAAGCUGAAGUACUUCCACCGCCGGCAUCCUCUGUUGCUCUGAUCUGGGAACUCAAUAACCAUCCGAAUUUGAAAAAGAAUAGAGUCUAAACUGUUUACUGGAAUGCUGAAAAAGUAUUUUUCUCUUCCCUUACCUUCGUCUCUCAACAGCGUUAGAAUCUAGUUUAUUAUUAUUAUUAAAUUUUUUUUUGUAAUUAUAGUUGAAGAGAUAAUAAUGAUGAAGAAAAUGAAAGCAAGGUUCCAAGACAAGACAUUUACUGCUCUUCUUCAGCUAACCUUCCUCGUAAUUCAUCAAAAAAGGUACUCUCUUUGUCUCUGAAUUGGGUGCCUCUAUUACUAUUCACAAAGUAAUAGUAAUCAAUUUUUUAACUGUUAAAAAAUAGGAUCACUAAUUGUGAUUUUUAUGUUAUCUCUAAAUAUGUUAAUUUUGUUUAAUAAUAUUUUUUUUUCAGAUUUUAUCUUUAGAUGAAAAAGGGGUUAAAUAUUGAUUAUUUUGAAACUGUGAUUAUUUUUCAAUUAUAAGAUGACUAUUUUUUAAAUUUGCCUCAAACAAGAGCCUAAAGUAAUGCAAGCUCUGUCAAACUGGCUAAGGCAAUUCGCAUUGGAUAUAUAUAUAUAAUCCUAAAAGUUUGAGCUCCAGAACUUAUUGGUAAUAAUUCUACGAGCCAAAAAUACAACUAACGUAUUGAAAAUAAUUGACAAAUACGCUUUGUUAACCUUUUUGGUCAUAAAUACUCUCCGUCAAAUUUUCAAGUUGAUGGUGAUGGAAAAAGAGCAGCUUAUAUAUAUAAAUAAUUGCAAUUUUAAAUCUCAAAAGGCAAGAAAAAUAAAAUUUAUAUAGGAAACGUUAUUUAAAAGUUGCUAUUAUUAAAUUUUACCAGUUUUAUUGAGUCACGAUUAUGCUCAUAAUAUUUUCUACGAACUGAAGAUCAUCAAACGGACUAUCCAUGUAAAUCUUUGUCUUUAUUUGUUGAAGUGUUGCAAAACACGUUGCCCAGGAUCACAUUAGAUAUAUCCAGGUUCCUUAAAACUGGUAGCGGUAUGUUUUGAAUACCUCGAUUCAUAUUGUGUGCCUUGAAGAUGUUUGACGAAAUGUCUGUGAGGAACUUAGUGUCCUGGAAGUCUAUGUUGGGUGGAAUUGAGAAAUGUGGGUAUGUGAUUUUGACGAGAAAGGUGUUUGAUUUAAUGCUCAACAAAGAUGUGUGUCGUGGAGCUCGUUAAUUGAUGGGUAUUUUAUGGAAGGGGAAUAUGCUAAGGCAUUGGCAGCUUUUAGGAAAAUGAAAGUAGAAGGGCCAAAAGCGAAUGUUUUGGGAGUUUGUGAGAUUGAUGCAAUCUUGAUUGUAAAAUGAAGAGGUGUCGAAGAGAGCGUCCGUCUGGUGAGCUCAAAGCAACUCCUGAUAUUGAAAGCACUUAUAAAAAGUUAUGCUCUUUAGUGUGUUCAUCGCAGUUGGGAGUUGUCCACGAAGAAAAAGUUUGCUUUAUCAUUUCUUUAAUGUUCGCCUAAAAUUCUAGACGAACAACGUCAUUAGCAACAUAGUUGAUUUCAAAUAUUCAAUGUUGUACUCUUUGAUCUUCAACUUGCUUCAUUUGCAGUUUUUCAACUGCAAAUCAUACAAAGUUCAUUAACCAUCUUCACGAGUCGUGGUUUUUACUCUAAUUAGAGCUGGAUAAAGAGGGAUGUGCAGAAGAUACUGGAAUACAAAUUUGAAAACGGAAGAAAGAGAUAUAGACACAGAAGCAGAACAUAUAAAAUUAAUAACAAAAAUCAAAUAGAAGUAACGAAAGCCGUUGAUUUUGACUUUAGCUGCAGAAUAAUAUUACGUAGAUUUAAUUUUAGUUGUACACUUUUAAUUUUUAACUUUGCACUCUGUUUAAGAAAUGAUAAAUGAAGUAUGUAUUUUAUAAUUUUACUCAUAAUAAUGAUAAAAUUUCAAAACGUAUUGAGAGAUGAUUUGGGGAUUGAGUAAUUAAUGACGAUGGUAGAACAAGAAACAAAAAUUUAUCUUUCUCUUGAUUUGCUAUAAUGAACAAGUAAAAGUGAACGAAAUGAAUACAUAUUAUGCUAAGAAAUGUAUGACAUACGUAUAUAAAUAGCGUGAGAACAUUCUAAUAUUUUCGCCCUAGUUAUUAUAUUAAAUCUAAGUUUUCUGCAUCAGUAAACAAAUAGAUAUUUUUAUGAUUAAGCUACUUUAAAAAUUAAUUAUACAAUGUAAGUAUUAUCAUUAACUUCAAAUUACGAUAAAUAAUGGUGUAUGUUACAAUUAACAAUCAUACACUAUGAAAUGAUUUUGCAGUUUAAGAAAGAAAAAUUUCGACGUAUAGCUACAUAAAAUUUCCUCCCCCUCAAUUUCACUCUCAAAUCUCAAUCUCAACUCCAAUGCUCUGAUCUGGGAACCCAAUAACCUUCCGAAUCUAAAAAAGAAUAAAGUCUAAACUGUUUAUUUUUCCAUUUGACGAAAAUGAAAGGAAGGUUCCAAGACAUUUACUGUUCUUCUUCAGCUAAUCUUCCUUGUAAUUCUUCAAAAAAAGGUACUCCCUUUGUCACUGAAUUGGGUGCUUCUAUUACUAUUCACAAAGUUAAACUGUUCUGAUAAUACAUUCUUAUCAAUUUUUAGCUGUUAAAAAUUGGGAUCACUAUUAGUGCUUUUUAUGUUGUCUCUAAAUAUGUUAAUUUUGUUUUUAUGAGUCAUGAAAUUGAAAUAUAUUCACACUAAAAUUACCUGAGUUGAUACUUGUACUGUACUCUGAUCAUGUUAUUCUUAUUAUUUUUGUGUUUUUUUUGGUGGGUGGGGGGGAGGUUAAUUUAAUUCCUUAAUUCUUUGCCCCCUCUCAGUCUCAGGAAUGAGUUCUUCUAUUACUUUAUUAUUUGUGUUUAGGUAGUUGUCAACUUAGUUACAGCAUUUUGGAGAAGAAUGAGAUUUGCCAGCUGAAAAGGGGUAGAAAGUUCUGUAGAUUAUCAAUGUGGUUGAAGUGGAGUGGCGCCACGGCCAAGAUUUUUGUUGAUAGGGAAUAAAAUUCGAAUUUGAAGUAGAGAGGUGCAAUGGCCAAGUAAGGUAUAUGAGGCCAUUUCUGGUGCUGAACUUUAAAUCUUUGAGAUGUAUUGGCGCUGGAACAUAUGAUCAACAAACUAUGCAUUUGUUGCACAAUUGUUUUCAGAAAUCCUAUAGAAAAGUGAUAAAUGAAAAAAGGAAACUAAUUGGUAAUAUACCCUACUAGUUUGCCCUGCACAUGUAUUCAUCAGAGAGCACAGACAGUGCAAGAAAAUUUCUACAAUAUCAGUUCAUUUAAAAGAUAAUUUAAAAUAUCUAUAAAAGUUCUGCAGUAUCAGUACAUUUGAUAGUGUAAAACUUUUACACUGUCGAUUGGAUAUAGGUUAAAUUCUUUAUGGAAAGUGUGAAAAAAGAAGAAGUGUCGUACUCCUAGUGUUUUGGUCUCUGCUAAGGUUUGAACUCUAGUCCUCAAGGUUUACAACCAGUUCACCGCUGAGCCAAACUCUUCGAUAUUGGAUUUUAAGGCAUAUUUAUUGUAUUUUGGUGUCUAAUUGAUAUGGGUAACCUUGGGUAAUAAUUAUUAUGAUUAAAUUGAUCUAUUGAUGAUUGACCUGUGGAUUGGAUUUGCAGAAAUUCUAAGGAAUUGGUUGAGAACAACUAUGAAAAGCAUAAUUGAGGGAACCUUGUGUUAGCCAAUACUUUAGGUAAUGUGCAUUGUGCCUUUCCAUUACUUGAAUUAAUUAAAAAGUUGAAGUUGAUAGAUUGUAACUCUAAACUAUUGGUUGCUUUAUAGAUUUGUUGACGAAUUGAGUAACAUGGUUGAUCAGAAGUUGAACUUGAGUAAUUGGCAUCUGGAGGUGAGUGAUGACUUGAACUAUGAAUUUUUUUUCCCAUAAAGAGCAUGAUUUGGAAAUUUAAUUCUUAAUUGAACUUCUAUGUUCGACAGAAUUGAGUUUUUCUGUAAAGAUAUAUGCAUCUGAUAUACUUUGGUAUGUUGGGACAAGUUUGAGAUUCGUAAGUUGAUACUUGAAAUAUGUACAAAGUAUGUCUUACGAGAUUGUUGAUAUGAUACGAACUUAUCCUAUUUGAGAUUACUAUAGUAAUUUUUUGCCUA
rnacentral:lncRNA from 1 species